AAAAGCUUUGAUGUAGAUAUGAACACUUUCUUCAGUUUCGCUGAAAACAUAGGUACAAGAGGUCACAUUUUGAACUUCUGCAAACCAAAAGCCGAAAAAAAUCAUUACAGCUAAACUCCUUUGGACAUCACACGAUAACAGUAUGGAAUAACUUACCAGAGGAAAUAGUAAACAAUGACACUGUAAUUUUUUUUUUCAGAUCAAGACUGGAUAAGUUAUGGAUCUUUAAACAAUACAAUAUUUCCCAAGUUUAUGAAGGAUCAGACUAGACCAGAGGUGGAGAACAGUUUUAACGAUGAAGUUCAAAGGGACUAAGGAAUGCACUUUUCCGUCAGUCUGUUCGUCUGCAAUUUCGUGUCCGUUCCAUCACUCUGUCAUCUGUGAAGGAAUUUUAAUAUUACUUGGCACAAAUGUUUCUCAUAAUGAGACAUGUUUUGCGCAAAACCCUGAACCCUAGCUUAAAGGUCAAAGUUACAGUCAGAGGUCAAAUGUCAACAGGGUUUUUUUUUCCUGUCUGGUCCAUGACUCUGCCUUCCAUGAAAGGAUCUUAAUAUUGCUUGGCACAAAUGUACAUAAUAAUUAGACCAUGAUUGUGUUGUGCAUAACUUUCAGACCCCUAACUCAAAGGUCAAGGUCACGCAUGGCAGUCAAAUGUUAACAUAGCAUGUUCGGUUCAUAACUCCCUCAUUCAAUUCAUUAAGGGGUUUUAAGAUCAUUUAGCACAAAUAUUCCCCAUGAUGAGACGACGUGUCUUGCCCAAAUCCUGGAUCCCUGGCUGAAAGGUCAAGGUCAUAAUUGGAGGUCAAAGUUCAGUAGGGCUUUUUUCCUGUCUGGCCCAAAACUCUGUCAUCCAUGAAUGGAUUUUAAUAUUACAUGGCACAAAUGUUCCCCAUGAUGAGAUGAUAUGUCAUGUGCAAAACCCGAACCUCUAGCUCAAAGGUCAAGGUCAUAAUUAUAGGUCAAAGUUCAAUAGGUUUUUUUCCUGUCCGGUCCAGAGCUCUGUCAUCCAUCAAGGGUUUUUUUUUUAUAAACAAAACAGGAUUUAGAUAUCAGUUUACACAAAAUAUUCCCCAGAUCUGACAAUGUGUCAUGCACAACACCCGAGCCCUUAGCUGCAAGGUCAAGGUCAUACACGGAAGUCAAUGGCCAAAAGGGCUUUUUUCCUGUCCAUUCUGUAACUCAACAAUCCUUUAAGGGAUUUUAAUAAUACUUGGCACGAAUGUUCACCACCAUGAGACAGAGUGUCAUGAGCAAGAACCUGGUCCCAAGAUGUAAGGUCAAUGUCACACAUAGAGGCCAAAGGUCAGAUACAAGAAUGACUUUGUCAGGAGCACUUCUUUAUGCAUGGGACAAUAUUUCGAAUAGUCGAGCUAAGUAAAUGGCUGUCUUUCGGACAGCUCUUGUUAUGUUACUUGGCAUGAAUGUUCACCAUUAUGAGACUGUCAUGCGCAAGAACCAGGUCCCUAGGUCUAAGAUCAAGGUCAUAGAGGCCAAAGGUGCUGGCGGGUUCGUCACUUUGCCCAUGGGCAUGCAGAAUAUAUUUCUAGUUAAUUAUUUAAGGUAAUGGACCCAUAAUAGAGUUAACCUCCUUUUUGAAGAGUAUUCAAUUCCUACCAAAUACCUACUUUGACUGCAAUUUUCAGGGGGCGUAGGUUCAAGCCCCACUGGGACCAAACUUUUUUUCCAUAUUUUCCUAAUCUUUAUUAGCCUCGCAAAGAAUCCUUGUUCCAAACAUUUCAAGCGUACCAUCUUUGAAUUAAAUCUGUCAGCAAUAUGGAUAAUGAGAGGAAAACUUCAUUAGAAUGAACAAAUUUCAAUAACAGACAUAUAUCUCAGUGUGAGGAUAACUUUUCAAAGG